rnacentral:rRNA from 1 species
UACGAAGGGGGCUAGCGUUGUUCGGAUUUACUGGGCGUAAAGCGCACGUAGGCGGGUCUUUAAGUCAGGGGUGAAAUCCUGGAGCUCAACUCCAGAACUGCCUUUGAUACUGAGGAUCUUGAGUUCGGGAGAGGUGAGUGGAACUGCGAGUGUAGAGGUGAAAUUCGUAGAUAUUCGGCGGAACACCAGUGGCGAAGGCGACUCACUGGCCCGAUACUGACGCUGAGGCGCGAAAGCGUGGGGAGCAAACAGG